ensembl:lncRNA
AUGAAGGGGUUGCUCUUCGCGGUCUCCGUGCUAUUCCUACUUCUGCCUUUUCAGCAGGUUGUGUCAAGCCCCGUGAAGGACAAGGAGGCCUCUGAACGUGAGGCUGAGAUGGAUACUUUGAUUGGGGCUGGUUCUCUGAGGCAGCCCCUGCUUCUUCGGGUGGCUCGGAUGACUCCAUUCUGGAGGUCACUGGGCUACAAACCUUCCCAGGCCCAUUGCUUGCGGGACCUGGAGUGCAUCAGCAAAUACUGCAGAUUGCUAAAGCAUCAAUCACGUGCCAAGCGCUGUGGAGAGCAAAGGAAGGCAACGCUACUGAUCCCGGCCUUCGAGCACCUCCCAUUCCAAUGGGGGAAGAUAACGCAGAACAGAGAAGGGCCAUGGCCCAGAGAUGCUGAGCUCCAGAAAGGAAAAAGCUGUUUAGCUUAACCUGCCAUGUGGAGGAAGAAGAGGGAAGGUGGCCGGUCAUCCCCACAGCUGGCCAGGAGAGGAGAUUGUUGCUGGGGGAUAAAAAGAUCCUGAUUCCUCAGGAGGCCAAGCCCUAUCAUGGAAGUGCUUAGCCCUGGGUGUCAAUGACUUUCUGCAUUUAGUAGGCCAUCAAUGACUUCCUUGAGCCAUCCAAUGGCUCUUUUUUUCUCAGUUAGGUUCUCAUUUUUCCUUGACCUUUCCUAACUUUUGCCCCCACCGAUGAUUCAGUCCUCUUUUGGCUUCCAUAACAUGACCCUGUGAAUUGGUGUGACCCUGGGCAAAUUCCCAAGCUUCAAUUGCCUCCUCUGUUAAAUGAGAGGCUAGGCCUCAGUGGCCUCUGAGCUCCUCACCAGCCCUAGAUCCCAGUGCCACAAUGGUUUCAUUGGCUCCUCUCCUUCAGCUGAGGCAUUCCCCGAGGAUCCACUGUGGCCCCUGAAGCUAGGCCUGUCUCCAGGGCUCUAGCUGCCCUCUCUUUGUGAAUGCUUCCUGAACCAUCCCUUAGACCCUGGCUGCCUUAGAGUUCCCAUCCUGUACCUCUGGCCAUCUCCUGGGCCUUUCCACUUGGAUAUCUCUCACCAUGAGCUCAUGGUCUUCCCUCAAACCAGUCUCCUCUUUGUCUUUCCCAAUUUCUACCAGUUUAGCCUGUUGUCUGGGCUCUUUGUAGCUGCUGCCAGCCUUUGAAUGACCCUCCUCACUGACUCCAGUUACCUCCUUGGUGCCACUCUAGCCUCACUAUUAUUACCUCAACCUUGCUUCCCCUCUGGCCUUGAUACCUUCACUUUCUUCUCCUCUCUGGUCCAUUUUGUAUUCUGUUGACAGAUGAGUCUUUCCUAAAUACUCAAGUCAUUAGGUCAACCCCUUCCUGCUCAAAAUCCGUCAAAUGCUCCCUUUUCCCUGCAAGAAAGAGUCUGAUAUUCUACCUGGCUUUCAGGGCCAUCAUAAUCUGACCCUGCUCUCCCAUGUAACCUUGUGUCCUACUAGUCCCAAACUCUAAAACCGAGGUCAAACAUGGCCUUCCCUCGUUGAAGAAGCUUCAGAGGCUCCUCACCACCUCCAGGAGAAAACAAGUCUGACAUUUAAGGACCUCCACAAUGUGACUCCAAUCCAUGUUUCCUGCCAGAUCAUCUGUUACUCCUUUCCAUGCACUCUCUGGUCUAGGCUAAACGGCCUUCCCAGGGCUCCCCACACCAGCCUAUCCAUCUCCCAUGGUGCUGCCUUAGCACAGGCUGGAUGCCUAUUCCUGGAAUGCUGCCCCCUCACCUCUGCCUCCCUUCAGAGCUUGCCUCAAGCAUCCCCUCCUUCCACCUCUUAGUGCUCUGGCCCUCAAGUAAGUUUGUGUUUCUUGACAUGUGCAUAUGGUGUGUCUCCCCCUCAGUAGAAUGGAAACUCCUGAGGGCAAGAGCUGUUUGGGGGUUGUCUUUCUAUCUCCAGCACUUAGCAUAGUGCCUGGCACAAAGUUGCUAAUGUCCUUCAAUUGAAUUUCUCUGGUCACCCACGUGUACUGAAAACUUGCCAUUUUCACCAGGGCCCGCCUCCCAUACUGAUGCUAUUCUCUCCAGCCAGAAGUCCCACCCUCAUGAAUAUGCUGGACCACACCCCUCCUCUCCAUGCCCUCCCUCCAUUCUCAAGUUCUGUGCCACACAGCACCCACAGGCUGGCACUUAAAACCUUACAAAGGAGAAUAGCCUGACUAUAAGAUCUUUCCAGUCUCUCCUAAAGAGCCCUCCCUCCCCAUACCCUGGCAGGUUGCUGAGCUCUCUUCAUCUUUAUCGAACUCUGGGGAACUCCCCUGCUUCACAUGCCAUGGUCUGAUCUCAGUUGGCUUCCCUUCUGUAGAGAAAAUUCCUCAGCCUAUGGUCUGUUUAUCAAUUAUAGUUGACUUGGUCAAUUCAGGAAUGAGCUUUGGCCUUUGCAAAUCCCUUUCUGGGAGCCCGGUUAAGUGAGCCCUUUCUUUCAGGUUGUGUCCCUCUGGACCACAUCUACAAUUGUCUCCUCUCACAUUAGCAUCGGUCUGACCUUGCUGGGCAGUGCCUGACCUUGGGAGUUUGCUUCAGGGCCUCCCCAAGUGGUCGUGUUGGCAGGGACCUCCACUUGCCCAAGGAUUCCCUCUGCAAUAUUGCCAAGAAGGGCACAGCCAGCUUUAGCUAACUCAUCCCCCUCCUAAAGCUGCCCAUUCCACCUUCCAGCAGAUGCUUUCACUCUUCUGGUGUUGUGGACGGGUAGGCUGGGGGGGAAAGCCUAGGGCCCCCCUCCUCAGAAUAUGGUUUUAAAAUUCAUAUAUUACAAGUGCAUAGGAUUGCAAUAGGAAAAUAAAGGUUAGUGAAAAUAAUGGUGUCA